UCACACUUUAAACUCCUAAUUAAUUUCUUAAUCUCUAAUUAGUUCUACUAAUCCUAAUUAAACUUCAAUUUAUCCUAAAAAUAAACCAAUACAAGACCUAAAUCUAUCUAACAAAACAAAGUAACAAAAAUAGCAAAGAUCUAUCCUCGCGAAGGUCUAUCCUCUAGUAACCUCAAAAUGUAAACCGAAAGAAUGUGAUCGGAAGACUCGCCGUAAUAUUCACCGGCGCCAGUAUCAUCUAGCUCAUCUUUGAUCGAAGGAACCGGGCCAGCUACAGAACCAGACAACAGCAGGCAUAGAGCUACUGGCACUAAAGUUGUCGCAGUGAUCUUCCAAUCGGGUUAUUGCCUCAGAUGGUACCUCAGCUGGUGUCCCAGUUUCUGCGAAUAGCAAACCCUUUGCCACUAAUGAGCUUAACAGGUUCGGAAGUGGAUUUGAUGUUUUAUUUGUAGCACCAGAUGUCAGGGCUGAGGCAUUGCUGACUUUAGAGGAAGUUGGUGUUAGAGUAGAUGUCCUAGCAUUAGUUUCAACAUGGGUCGAUGAAUCUUAAGCCCUUUGAUCAUUAGAAGAAUUUAUUUCUGAUCCUACUUGUUGAGAUAUGACCGGCAUGAUCUCACGGAGUACAUUUGAAAAAAAUAUUUCUUCAUUACUAACAGGGGGUUCAGCUUCAAAGAUUCCAGGAAAGGGGACAUCAUGUAGGGCUUAAAACCAGUGAUCCCGGGAGAUAUCACUCCAUCACUUGAAGUUUGAACGUUAUCGAGUCGUUUCCAUGAAAUUUCACUGAUUUCCUUUUGGUUUGCAGGGAAAAUGAUGUAUCAUCUCCGACACCAGCAACAAAACAAAGUUGUGUUCUCUGUCGUUCAAAAGUAACUUUGAGGUAUUCAUCUUUAUUAAGAAGUUUUGAAACAUCAGCCUGUUUUGCCGGAGACUUGAUGCUCUUAGCCUUCAUGCUCUCAAUCGGAACUUUCUUUGCAGCAAUAACUUUCUUCUUGGCAGCAAUAUUCUUAGUCUUAUCCGUGACAGGUCUGGGCUUGACAGUGGCUUUUCUGUGGGCUUACUGUUGCAGGAUCAUGUUAUGCAUUGUUUGGAUAGUGAAAUGGUUUGUUGAUGCUUUGCCUUGCAGGUCUAGCUUAGCAUUCGGUCUGGUUGGUUGGCUACUAGGCAGCGUUUUGGCUGGUUGUUCUGUUUGUUGCCCUGAAUGCUUGAUGUUUGCUUGUCUUCUUGCAGGUUUUUAGCUGCUUUGGAAAAUGCAGAUUAUGGUUAAUUUUGCAAGUUUUGUUAAUGGUUGAAUCAAUUAACUUCAAUUGCCUUAGUAGUGAAUUAUCCAUGCCUUGGUCAAUUGCUGUUAAGUUAGUAACUUUGCAAAACAUGUUAAAGUUAAUGCAGGUUUUGGCGUUGCCGCUUUGUUUGCCGUCAUUUGCAGUUGGCUUGUGCGGCUUGUUCACUCUUGUUACGUUAAAGCGGUUUUCUCUUCGAUUACAAUCAAAAUGUUUCCGAUACACUGACUGCGUUACUGCACUAUUUCUCGACCGAACGGAAUCAUCUAACCCACCAAAACAUGACCUCUACAGCAUAAACACGCUGUCAAACAAUCAACUAGAGCGCUAACAAUCACUUGAGAUGGGGUGUGAUCAAGAAGUUCCUUUAGCUUCCUUUUGCUAACCGGAUGGCCUUGAAACAUAUCGGCCACAAUCAUUAAGCACCUGAGCUUGCAUUCCAGCGUGUCGUCUAACACCAAUAGCAUCGUACAUGACAAUAAGACUGGUGCCAAAUGAGAAGAAGGCAUUCCUCCAGAAGCAAACAUGGGUCUGAAAUCCCCCUUUCUCUCCAUACAAAAGUUCAAGAAACUUUGAUGGAUGCGAAUAAACCAGAAACAGAAGUUAGGUUGAAAGCCAAAGUAGCAACAAAAGGCUCCUUAAAUUUGGCGUUAGCCGCUAUACUUAAUGAAGUCACUCCCGUCCCUCCGUUUUGCAAGUAACAAGCUUCUUGUUGGUCUUCAUUGGAAGCCCUGUUGUGGGUUAUUAAAGCUGCCACCUUUUUCUUUCAUUUCGUCAUAUUGUAAUGUAAUAUUAUUGGAUAUGGAGUAUGUACAUGGAUUAUGAAUGGAUAUUAAAAUGAAAUUGGAUUUGGAUAAAAAAAGAUAAUUGGAUUUUAUUGGAAUUA